rnacentral:rRNA from 1 species
AAUCAACGCUGGCGGCGUGCCUCAGACAUGCAAGUCGAACGCGAAAGGUUCCUUCGGGGACCGAGUAGAGUGGCGCACGGGUGAGUAACACGUAGGUAAUUUGCCUUCGGGUGGGGAAUACCAACCGGAAACGGUUGUUAAUACCGCAUGAUGCAGCGGCUCGACAUCGAGACAGUUGUUAAAGCGGGGGAGCGGAGCAAUCCGUCCUCGCGCCUGAAGAGAAGCCCGCGGCGGANAGGUAGUGGUGAGGUAAUGGCUCACCAAGCCUGCGAUCCGUAACCGACCUGAGAGGGUGGUCGGUCACACUGACACUUAGAUACGGGUCAGACUCCUACGGGAGGCAG